rnacentral:tRNA from 3 species
GCGCUUGUAGCUCAGCUGGAUAGAGUACUUGACUACGAAUCAAGGGGUCGGGGGUUCGAAUCCUCCCAAGCGCGCCA